rnacentral:rRNA from 1 species
GAGUUUGAUCCUGGCUCAGGAUGAACGCUAGCGGCAGGCUUAACACAUGCAAGUCGAGGGGUAACAGGGAUUGCUUGCAAUCCGCUGACGACCGGCGCACGGGUGCGUAACGCGUAUGCAACCUACCUUUUACAAGGGGAUAGCCCAGAGAAAUUUGGAAUAAUACCCUAUACGAUCAUUAAUUGGCAUCAAUUAAUGAAGAAAACUCCGGUGGUAAAAGAUGGGCAUGCGUCCUAUUAGUUAGUUGGUAAGGUAACGGCUUACCAAGACUCCGAUAGGUAGGGGUCCUGAGAGGGAGAUCCCCCACACUGGUACUGAGACACGGACCAGACUCCUACGGGAGGCAGCAGUGAGGAAUAUUGGACAAUGGAGGCAACUCUGAUCCAGCCAUGCCGCGUGCAGGAAGACGGCCCUACGGGUUGUAAACUGCUUUUAUACAGGAAGAACUAUAUCUACGUGUAGAUAUUUGACGGUACUGUACGAAUAAGGAUCGGCUAACUCCGUGCCAGCAGCCGCGGUAAUACGGAGGAUCCAAGCGUUAUCCGGAAUCAUUGGGUUUAAAGGGUCCGUAGGCGGUCUAAUAAGUCAGAGGUGAAAUCCUACAGCUCAACUGUAGCAUUGCCUUUGAUACUGUUAGACUUGAGUUAUUGUGAAGUAGUUAGAAUGUGUAGUGUAGCGGUGAAAUGCAUAGAUAUUACACAGAAUACCGAUUGCGAAGGCAGAUUACUAACAAUAUACUGACGCUGAGGGACGAAAGCGUGGGUAGCGAACAGGAUUAGAUACCCUGGUAGUCCACGCCGUAAACGAUGGAUACUAGCUGUUCGAUCAACAUUGGUUGGGUUGAGUGGCUAAGCGAAAGUGA